CGAGACUCUACCGCGGGCCCGGCGGCCGCCUUGGGAGCCCGGCGGAAACAUGGCGGCGCCCGGAGCCCGGGGCCGCAGCCUCUCCGGCCUGCUCCCCGCGCAGACCUCGCUAGAGUACGCCCUGCUCGACGCCGUUACCCAGCAGGAGAAGGACAGCCUGGUCUACCAGUAUCUGCAGAAGGUGGACGGCUGGGAGCAGGACUUGUCAGUACCCGAGUUUCCGGAAGGGUUAGAAUGGCUGAACACAGAAGAACCUAUUUCUGUCUACAAGGAUCUAUGUGGAAAAAUAGUCGUCCUUGAUUUCUUCACCUACUGCUGCAUAAACUGUAUUCACCUAUUGCCUGAUCUCCAUGCAUUAGAACACACAUACUCUGAUAAAGGUAUCUGCUCUUUAAUUAGUUUCUAACAGACUGUCCUGGCAUAGUCACAGGAAGAGUCGCUGACUCAUUAGCUCAUAGGAGAAUGAACAUUUGGCAAGACUUCAGGGAUUCUAAAAGUAAUCUCUUAUCUAUGAAUUAAAGACUUCAUGUACCUUUUCAUAAAGGAUUAAGC
rnacentral:sRNA from 1 species